rnacentral:tRNA from 1 species
GGAGGAGUGGCCGAGUGGUCGAUGGCGCAGCACUGGAAAUGCUGUGUAGGGCAACUUACCGUGGGUUCGAAUCCCACCUCCUCCG